CUGGUGGUCCAGUACCUCCAAAGAUAUGGAAUACACUCCUGAAAUAUCCUGAAACCUUUUUUUUUUCAGAAUCCUUUAAUAAGCAGUUAUGUCAAUCUGAAAGUUGCUUACUUGUACUUUAUAUUAAUAGCUAUUCUUGUUUUUCUUAUCCAAAGAAAAAUCCUCUAAUCCCCUUUUCACAUGAUAGUUGUUACCAUGUUUAGGCAUUAGUCACAUCAACCCCUCUCCUCUCCCAAAUUUCUCUUCUUCAAAUCAAACUUUAUUAGUCCCUCCUUUAUAAUGAUUCCUUGCCUCCUUUUAUCCAGAUCAAUUUUUUUUCACUUUGAUGCCCAGAGCUGAAGAAAUGGACUAUUGUAUAAAUUAUUCAUUGCCAAGAGAAUAAUUGCAUUUUAAACCCAUAUUAUAACAAAGAAUAAUGAUUAUAUUUUGUGAUUUGUAACAAAUACCCUUUAUUUUCCCUUAACUAUUGAAUUAAAUAUUUUAAUUAUUUGUAUUCUCUUUAACUAUCUUGGUAUAUUAAAGUAUUAUCUUUUAUAUAUUUAUCAAUGGUGGACACUUUUAUAGGUACUCUGUGUCAUUUUUGAUACUGUAGGUAUCUUAUUUCAUUUAUCUUUAUUCUUAAUGUACGAAUUCAUAAUAUUUGAUUCAGAACAAAUUUAUCACUAACAGAGUAUCAAUUAUGCUAACAUCUCAUUUACUGAUUUUAAUUUAAAACAGUUUUUGUUAACAUGCAUGUUUAGGGUUGGCUUCUUAAUAAUUUCUUCUUCCUCUUCUCUCUCUCCUCUUCUUUUGGUCAGUGUUGUGCGGGUUAAUACAACAAACUGUAACAAGUGUACCUGGUAUGGACUUGUUGUCCGGGACGUACAUUUUCGCGGUCCUGCUAGCAUGCGUGGUGUUCCACUCUGGCGCCCAGGAGAAAAACUACACCAUCCGAGAAGAAAUGCCAGAAAACGUCCUGAUAGGCGACUUGUUGAAAGACCUUAACUUGUCGCUGAUUCCAAACAAGUCCUUGACAACUGCUAUGCAGUUCAAGCUAGUGUACAAGACCGGAGAUGUGCCACUGAUUCGAAUUGAAGAGGAUACUGGUGAGAUCUUCACUACUGGCGCUCGCAUUGAUCGUGAGAAAUUAUGUGCUGGUAUCCCAAGGGAUGAGCAUUGCUUUUAUGAAGUGGAGGUUGCCAUUUUGCCGGAUGAAAUAUUUAGACUGGUUAAGAUACGUUUUCUGAUAGAAGAUAUAAAUGAUAAUGCACCAUUGUUCCCAGCAACAGUUAUCAACAUAUCAAUUCCAGAGAACUCGGCUAUAAACUCUAAAUAUACUCUCCCAGCGGCUGUUGAUCCUGACGUAGGAACAAACGGAGUUCAAAACUACGAACUAAUUAAGAGUCAAAACAUUUUUGGCCUCGAUGUCAUUGAAACACCAGAAGGAGACAAGAUGCCACAACUGAUUGUUCAAAAGGAGUUAGAUAGGGAAGAGAAGGAUACCUACGUGAUGAAAGUAAAGGUUGAAGAUGGUGGCUUUCCUCAAAGAUCCAGUACUGCUAUUUUGCAAGUAAGUGUUACUGAUACAAAUGACAACCACCCAGUCUUUAAGGAGACAGAGAUUGAAGUCAGUAUACCAGAAAAUGCUCCUGUAGGCACUUCAGUGACACAGCUCCAUGCCACAGAUGCUGACAUAGGUGAAAAUGCCAAGAUCCACUUCUCUUUCAGCAAUCUAGUCUCCAACAUUGCCAGGAGAUUAUUUCACCUCAAUGCCACCACUGGACUUAUCACAAUCAAAGAACCACUGGAUAGGGAAGAAACACCAAACCACAAGUUACUGGUUUUGGCAAGUGAUGGUGGAUUGAUGCCAGCAAGAGCAAUGGUGCUGGUAAAUGUUACAGAUGUUAAUGAUAAUGUCCCAUCCAUUGACAUAAGAUACAUCGUCAAUCCUGUCAAUGACACAGUUGUUCUUUCAGAAAAUAUUCCACUCAACACCAAAAUUGCUCUCAUAACUGUGACGGAUAAGGAUGCGGACCAUAAUGGCAGGGUGACAUGCUUCACAGAUCAUGAAAUCCCUUUCAGAUUAAGGCCAGUAUUCAGUAAUCAGUUCCUCCUGGAGACUGCAGCAUAUCUUGACUAUGAGUCCACAAAAGAAUAUGCCAUUAAAUUACUGGCUGCAGAUGCUGGCAAACCUCCUUUGAAUCAGUCAGCAAUGCUCUUCAUCAAAGUGAAAGAUGAAAAUGACAAUGCUCCAGUUUUCACCCAGUCUUUCGUAACUGUUUCUAUUCCUGAGAAUAACUCUCCUGGCAUCCAGUUGACGAAAGUAAGUGCAACGGAUGCAGACAGUGGGCCUAAUGCUGAGAUCAAUUACCUGCUAGGCCCUGAUGCUCCACCUGAAUUCAGCCUGGAUCGUCGUACAGGCAUGCUGACUGUAGUGAAGAAACUAGAUAGAGAAAAAGAGGAUAAAUAUUUAUUCACAAUUCUGGCAAAAGAUAACGGGGUACCACCCUUAACCAGCAAUGUCACAGUCUUUGUAAGCAUUAUUGAUCAGAAUGACAAUAGCCCAGUUUUCACUCACAAUGAAUACAACUUCUAUGUCCCAGAAAACCUUCCAAGGCAUGGUACAGUAGGACUAAUCACUGUAACUGAUCCUGAUUAUGGAGACAAUUCUGCAGUUACGCUCUCCAUUUUAGAUGAGAAUGAUGACUUCACCAUUGAUUCACAAACUGGUGUCAUCCGACCAAAUAUUUCAUUUGAUAGAGAAAAACAAGAAUCUUACACUUUCUAUGUAAAGGCUGAGGAUGGUGGUAGAGUAUCACGUUCUUCAAGUGCCAAAGUAACCAUAAAUGUGGUUGAUGUCAAUGACAACAAACCAGUUUUCAUUGUCCCUCCUUCCAACUAUUCUUAUGAAUUGGUUCUACCGUCCACUAAUCCAGGCACAGUGGUCUUUCAGGUAAUGGCUGUUGACAAUGACACUGGCAUGAAUGCAGAGGUUCGUUACAGCAUUGUAGGAGGAAACACAAGAGAUCUGUUUGCAAUCGACCAAGAAACAGGCAACAUAACAUUGAUGGAGAAAUGUGAUGUUACAGACCUUGGUUUACACAGAGUGUUGGUCAAAGCUAAUGACUUAGGACAGCCUGAUUCUCUCUUCAGUGUUGUAAUUGUCAAUCUGUUCGUGAAUGAGUCGGUGACCAAUGCUACACUGAUUAAUGAACUGGUGCGCAAAAGCACUGAAGCACCAGUGACCCCAAAUACUGAGAUAGCUGAUGUAUCCUCACCAACUAGUGACUAUGUCAAGAUCCUGGUUGCAGCUGUUGCUGGCACCAUAACUGUCGUUGUAGUUAUUUUCAUCACUGCUGUAGUAAGAUGUCGCCAGGCACCACACCUUAAGGCUGCUCAGAAAAACAAGCAGAAUUCUGAAUGGGCUACCCCAAACCCAGAAAACAGGCAGAUGAUAAUGAUGAAGAAAAGGAAAAAGAAGAAGAAGCAUUCCCCUAAGAACCUGCUGCUUAAUUUUGUCACUAUUGAAGAAACUAAGGCAGAUGAUGUUGACAGUGAUGGAAACAGAGUCACACUAGACCUUCCUAUUGAUCUAGAAGAGCAAACAAUGGGAAAGUACAAUUGGGUAACUACACCUACUACUUUCAAGCCCGACAGCCCUGAUUUGGCCCGACACUACAAAUCUGCCUCUCCACAGCCUGCCUUCCAAAUUCAGCCUGAAACUCCCCUGAAUUCGAAGCACCACAUCAUCCAAGAACUGCCUCUCGAUAACACCUUUGUGGCCUGUGACUCUAUCUCCAAGUGUUCCUCAAGCAGUUCAGAUCCCUACAGCGUUUCUGACUGUGGCUAUCCAGUGACGACCUUCGAGGUACCUGUGUCCGUACACACCAGACCGGUAGGUAUCCAAGUUUCUAACACAACUUUCUAACUAUUUUUUUAUUAUUAUUUUCAGUUGAUGUAGAACUUUACAAAAUCUAUUGACUUCAAAGAGGGAUCAAAACAAUCAUAUUCUACAGAUGUACCCAAUAGAUAUAUGGAUCCAAUUAAGUUUGGUAGAAGAUGAGAACAAAAUAACUACUGAUUUAGGAAAAUUGGAUGCAGAAUAAUAAUUAUAGUAGGGGCAAUUUUGUCUGUAGAUGGCAGUAUGACAAUUCUUGCUAGAGAAUAUAUUGAAAAAAACUUCAACACAAAGGGUUGUAGCACUGUCCUCAGUACCAUUGUGUGCAUGAAGAUCAGAAUAGUCUGGGCUAGAUACAUCACAUUAAAGCUUUUCAGAAUCUGAUACAUAGUUCUAAAUACUAAUGAUAUUGAGAAGCCUAGCUUCACUUGGGAAAAUCUGUGGCUGUUCACAGAAAUUCAGCACCAAGAUAUUCCCCCCAUACUCUACCAGGCCUUCAGGUCCUCAUAAAGAAAAGUGUCGUUUUCAGAUUAGGAACUCAAAAUUAUUUUGGUGCAUCAAAUCUACAGUCACACAAUAUAACAAGAAUGGGAUUAGAAAAAUGAAAGCCUACUCAUUCUCAUCUUUAAGCCAGAGAAUGAAAUAUAUAUGAGGUCUCUACUUUAGAUAGCUAUUUAAAUAUUUGCAUAUUUAUGCAAGGUAUUUUGAGCCCUUCAGAAGACAUUCU
rnacentral:sRNA from 1 species